CGGUCACAUAACGUUGAAAAACAGAUUCUCGUAUGAUCACCAAAGUUAAGCAACGUUGAGCUUAGCCAGUACCUAGAUGAGUGACCACUGGGGAAUUCUAGAUGUUGUAA